rnacentral:ncRNA from 1 species
AUCUGUAAGAGUUUAAUUUUGGCUCUGAUUGAACGUUUUUCAGUAGUUUUAAGACAUGCGAAUCUAUGGAUCCUAUGAACUAGUAAGCGGAAAAUGCUAAUUAUAUUGGUUACAAUAUAUAAAAACAUUUUUUUGAAAUAUUCUCCGUCUAAGGGAGCAGUCUACCUCCCUGCUGUUUGCAGGAAGAAAGGCUGGGCAGUUAACUUUUAAAUCAGUUUACAGCAAGAAUAGAAGCCCAUUAGGGAUUAGACCAUGGUGUAAAGGUGAGUAAUGGUAAAUUAGAUACUUUAUAGACCUCUCGAAUAGGGGAUAGUUUUAAUUAGUUGUCGCUUGAUAAAAAUCCAAAAAUUGAAAAGGAGCAAGCAAGAUAUGAUAAAUCUUCUAGUUGUAAGCUUACUGUUCUGCGGUAAGUAGAACAAGGUUAUACAACAACACCUAAUUAAGCAUAAAUUAGCUUAUUUAUAAGAAAGGAAAGCUUUAUUUAAACUAUAAAAAAAAUAGUUUGAUUGCCUCAGGCAAAUUUAAAGCACCGCUAUAAGAAUCGAUUUAUUUUGUUUAAUGGUAGUUGGUUGGGUAAAAGCCUACCAAGCCUACGAUCAAUAGCCAGGUUUGAUAGAACAGAUGGCCACAUUGGGAAUGAAAAGCCCCAAGUAGAGUAAUCUACCUGCAGUCAAGAAUAUUAGUCAAUGCUCGCAAGAGUGAACUAGCUAACUGAAAUCUUAAGAUCACUUAAUCGUGG